GUCCUAGCUGUAACGAUGGGCACUAGGUGUGGGGAGUCGACCCUUCCGUGCCGCAGUUAACGCAUUAAGUGCCCGCCUGGGGAGUACGACCGCAAGGUUGAAACUCAAAGGAAUUGACGGGCCCGGCACAAGCGGUGGAGCAUGUGGUUUAAUUCGAUGAUACGCGAAGAACCUUACCGGGGCUUGACAUGCAGCAGAAGUUUGUGGAAACACACUCGUCCCUCACGGGACUGUUGCACAGGUGCUGCAUGGCUGUCGU
rnacentral:rRNA from 1 species